rnacentral:rRNA from 1 species
AUUGAACGCUGGCGGCAUGCCUUACACAUGCAAGUCGAACGGUAACAGGUCUUCGGAUGCUGACGAGUGGCGAACGGGUGAGUAAUACAUCGGAACGUGCCCGAUCGUGGGGGAUAACGGAGCGAAAGCUUGGCUAAUACCGCAUACGAUCUACGGAUGAAAGCAGGGGACCGCAAGGCCUUGCGCGGACGGAGCGGCCGAUGGCAGAUUAGGGAGUUGGUGGGAUAAAAGCUUACCAAGCCGACGAUCUGUAGCUGGUCUGAGAGGACGACCAGCCACACUGGGACUGAGACACGGCCCAGACUCCUACGGGAGGCAGCAGUGGGGAAUUUUGGACAAUGGGCGAAAGCCUGAUCCAGCCAUGCCGCGUGCAGGAUGAAGGCCUUCGGGUUGUAAACUGCUUUUGUACGGAACGAAAAGACUCCUUCUAAUAAAGGGGGUCCAUGACGGUACCGUAAGAAUAAGCACCGGCUAACUACGUGCCAGCCGCCGCCGUAAAAC